UACGGGGGGGGCAAGCGUUGUCCGGAAUCAUUGGGCGUAAAGAGCGUGUAGGCGGCCAGAUAAGUCCGCUGUGAAAUCUCGAGGCUCAACUUCGAGCUGUCGGUGGAACUGUCUGGCUAGAGUUCGGCAGGGGAGACUGGAAUCCUGGUGUAGCGGUGAAAUGCGCAGAUAAUCAGGAGGAACACCGGUGGCGAAGGCGGGUCUCUGGGCCGAUGACUGACGCUGAGGAGCGAAAGCGUGGGGAGCGAACAGG
rnacentral:rRNA from 1 species